rnacentral:sRNA from 1 species
CCCUUGCACCAGGGCUGACUGUAGCUGGGGGAAGACAUUUUACUCAUUUGCUCUUUCCUUUCAUACAGUCAGCUGGUCCCUCUUCUCAGGUGUAGAUCACCUAUUCUAAUUUUACCUAAUUUUGAUACUCUGAUAAGGAAAGUCCCAGGACUUAUCAGCUGGGAUAGGCCUCACUUACAAGACAGCUCUGUUCAGUAUUUGGAAGAAAGAAAGCCUGACAGGUUUCUUCGGAAAAGUGGCCAUCCAUGGAAUGAAUGAAAUGUUCUCUUUCUAUUCCAGGGAUUGCAGUGGCAAAGCUAGGCUAGGUCUUGGAGGCUGGUGUAAGGCGAUGCGGGUGAAGGCAGGAGGCUGAUGGAGAGACUGGGGGGAAGAAAAGCCGAAAUGGAUUCACGGUGCCUUGGAUGAAGGACGAGAGGGGAACUGCAAGCUCCUUCAACUGGUUCUGUCCGGUGAGAAGUGAUCAAGCUUGGGCUGACAAGAGGCUCAGGGAGCCCUCACGUUCUUUCGCUUUUUUACCUGCCAAUCAAACUGCUACAAGACAACACCCUGAUCUGGCAUGGA